CAGUCGCCACGUUAAUACAGAGGGUGCGAGCGUUAAUCGGAUUUACUGGGCGUAAAGCGUGCGUAGGCGGCUUCUUAAGUCGGAUGUGAAAUCCCUGAGCUUAACUUAGGAAUUGCAUUCGAUACUGGGAAGCUAGAGUAUGGGAGAGGAUGGUAGAAUUCCAGGUGUAGCGGUGAAAUGCGUAGAGAUCUGGAGGAAUACCGAUGGCGAAGGCAGCCAUCUGGCCUAAUACUGACGCUGAGGUACGAAAGCAUGGGGAGCAAACAGGAUUAGAUACCCCCGUAGUCCCUGUCUCUUAUAC
rnacentral:rRNA from 1 species